GACUCUCGGCAACGGAUAUCUUGGCUCUCGCAUCGAUGAAGAACGUAGCGAAAUGCGAUACUUGGUGUGAAUUGCAGAAUCCCGUGAACCAUCGAGUUUUUGAACGCAAGUUGCGCCCCAAGCCGUUAGGCUGAGGGCACGUCUGCCUGGGUGUCA
rnacentral:rRNA from 3 species